rnacentral:ncRNA from 1 species
GAUGAGAUUUCCCAUAGCGCAAGCUAGUAAGAUCCCUGAAAGAUGAUCAGGUUGAUAGGUUCGAGGUGGAAGUGUGGUGACACAUGGAGCUGACGAAUACUAAUCGAUCGAGGACUUAACCAA